rnacentral:rRNA from 1 species
CGGACGGGUGAGUAAUGCCUAGGAAUCUGCCUGGUAGUGGGGGACAACGUUUCGAAAGGAACGCUAAUACCGCAUACGUCCUACGGGAGAAAGCAGGGGACCUUCGGGCCUUGCGCUAUCAGAUGAGGCCUAGGUCGGAUUAGCUAGUUGGUGAGGUAAUGGCUCACCAAGGCGACGNUCCGUAACUGGUCUGAGAGGAUGAUCAGUCACACUGGAACUGAGACACGGUCCAGACUCCUACGGGAGGCAGCAGCC